rnacentral:rRNA from 1 species
UACGGAGGGAGCUAGCGUUGUUCGGAAUUACUGGGCGUAAAGCGCGCGUAGGCGGCUUCGUAAGUUAGAGGUGAAAGCCCGGGGCUCAACCCCGGAAUUGCCUUUAAGACUGCAUCGCUUGAAUCCGGGAGAGGUGAGUGGAAUUCCGAGUGUAGAGGUGAAAUUCGUAGAUAUUCGGAAGAACACCAGUGGCGAAGGCGGCUCACUGGACCGGCAUUGACGCUGAGGUGCGAAAGCGUGGGGAGCAAACAGG